rnacentral:rRNA from 1 species
UACGUAGGCAGCGAGCGUUGUUCGGAAUUACUGGGCGUAAAGAGUGUGUAGGCGGUGCUCUAAGUUCGGUGUGAAAUCUCCUGGCUCAACUGGGAGGGUGCGCCGGAAACUGGAGUGCUUGAGCGUGGGAGAGGAAAGCGGAAUUCCUGGUGUAGCGGUGAAAUGCGCAGAUAUCAGGAGGAACACCAAUGGCGAAGGCAGCACUCUGGGACGUGACUGACGCUGAGACGCGAAAGCGUGGGGAGCAAACAGG